AUGCACGCUGGCGGCGUGCUUCACCCCUGCCAGUCGCACGCUGAAGCCCAGCUUGCUGGGUGGAUUAGUGGCGAACGGGUGAGUAACACGUGAGUAACCUGCCCUUAACUCUGGGAUAAGCCUGGGAAACUGGGUCUAAUACCGGAUAGGAGCGCCUACCGCAUGGUGGGUGUUGGAAAGAUUUAUCGGUUUUGGAUGGACUCGCGGCCUAUCAGCUUGUUGGUGAGGUAAUGGCUCACCAAGGCGACGACGGGUAGCCGGCCUGAGAGGGUGACCGGCCACACUGGGACUGAGACACGGCCCAGACUCCUACGGGAGGCAGCAGUGGGGAAUAUUGCACAAUGGGCGAAAGCCUGAUGCAGCGACGCCGCGUGAGGGAUGACGGCCUUCGGGUUGUAAACCUCUUUCAGUAGGGAAGAAGCGAAAGUGACGGUACCUGCAGAAGAAGCACCGGCUAACUACGUG
rnacentral:rRNA from 1 species